UUUAUUUUAUGUGAAUAGACGUUUUGCCUGCAUAUCUGUGCACCACAUAUGUCUCUGGUACUCAGGGAGGACAGAAGAGGGUAUUGGAUCUCCUGGAACUGGACUUACAGACUGUUGUGAGCCACUAUGUGGAUGCUGGAAAUUGAAAUUGGGUCCUCAGAAAGAAUAACAAGGCCUCUUAACUGCUAAGCCAUUUCUCCGGCCCUGAAUUAUGAGAUUUAAAUAAAGCAUUUCAGAGUCAUCCACCUACAAUGCAGGAGCAUAUACCUGAGACGGAGAAGAACCAUGAUGUUUUCAUUUAGUCCUGUUACAGACUUGCUGUGUGACCUUGAGGAGAUGAUUUUCAUAUCUCCGAGUCUUAGUUUUCAAUUAUAAAAUUAGGAUCUGGACUUAAAACUGUAUAGGAACUCUUAAUCACGUAAUGAAGGCACUCAGCCUAAAAUUAAUUCCAGACUAUUUUUAAAUGCUUUGAAAUAUUUAGAGCUGGUUUCAAAUAAGUGGCAAGUGCAGCUUUGCAGGGAGGUAGCUAGAAUAACAGCUCACAGCUGAGUGUGGAUGCGUCCAGGAGGCCAGAGCAAGGGGCAGGGCUAUGUCACCUGACUCUUGAUCUACAUGUAAAUUAAAAAUGCAUGCCCGGCUGCAGGAGGACACCUGGUGAAUUAGUGAUGGCCCUCAAUGUCUUCAUUGCAGAGUGGACAGGGAUCUGGGCAGGGGGAGGGGCCGGGUAGUGAGGCCCCAGUGAGGAACAGUGUAACCAGAACCCGGUUAGAAGUGGAAGCACACCCGACAGUGGGCGUCACCAUGACACAGCAAUCUGCGGCCGAUUAUUGGGUAAGCAUGUUUCAUUUAGCAGAUGUGGGGGCUGAGGCUGUGCCUCUCACACCACCAGAGCAUAGGGAGGCCAAGCCCUAGCCUUCUGACUCACUGUUUCUCACAGAAAACAGAGACUCAAUGGCCAGCAAGGGCGGACCCAACCAGGGAACCUCUACAGGCAGAAAGGAGAAUGGAGGAGGGGUGUCUCCCUCCCCUCUCUCCCUCCUUCCCGCUGUCCACCUCUCCCCACCCCAGAACCACCUGACUGACUGUGUUGUCUUGAGUCCUCCAGGGAUGGCUCUGAUGGAUCCCCAUGACUUGAGAACUAGAAGUGUAGCCUAGGAGGAGACACCUCAGCUUGAUGGUGAAGUGGCUGAAGAAAACACACAGGGAGAAGCCUCUUCCUGCCCCUUCCUACCCUUUCCAGCCCCUGCCCUUUGCCGCAUUACUUCUCUUCCUGCCUCUUGUCCACAGAGUCCAUGUAAGACUGCAGUGGCUUCCUGCUCUGCUCCUCAGAGUCCUAGAGAAAUACCAAGGCUCAGCCAGGUGAGGACAGGCCUUGGCACUUGUCAUAUCGAUGGAGACAUAAUUGGUGGAGACACUGAGAUGACUUGGCUUGAGGAGACCCUCAAGAAUACAUACAGACACGAAAAGGCUGCCUUCAACUUCCCAACAAGAAGAGAGGAGCUGAAGAACUUUCUGGAAAGCAAGGUUCAUGCCCACAUCCCUGCAUCACUUAAAGUCCUCAGCCAAUACUCUAACAACACAAUUCAGGCAAACACGACAGUGAGUAUGGACUGGCCGCCAUGCUGAACUAUACAGAGUUGAAUGUGCGCUUCUCCGUUGCUAGGGAACACCCUUCCCCACAGCACCCAGUGUAAAACUUCUCUUAAGAUGCCCAAUGUUUAAUGUAACAACUUACCUAAGAAGCAGGCCUGGGAAUCUGAAAGGGGGCAUUGCCCCCAUCCUCUUUCUCUGGGCUUUCAUCACAGCCUAAAGUCCAACAGCCGCUGUGAGUUUCUGCCAGAUUUGUACCAUAGAUGAGAGGAGUUGUGGAAUUCACUCUGCAUCUCUGGACUUUAGGAGAACCUCUGAAUACCUCUGGGACUGAUAUCAGCACGUGGAGUCAGACUCUACCUUCUGUCUGUGUGUGCUAAGUCAGGACAACGUCACUGUUUCUUGUGGCAUUGCUGCCAUGUCACAGCCAUGAUUGCUGGCACAUUCCUGGUCAGUCUGUGCUGUGGGUGGAGGAGGGACCAUGGCUCCUCUAUCCAAGAAACGUAAGGCUGGUGAGUAACAGAGACACCAAGCAAGUAAGUUCUGGAUGGAUGGAGCUAUGGAAGUCACAGAGGGAGAAAGCCAGGCCUUGGAUCUCAGAGUGCUCAACACUCCUCAAAAGACUUGCUGAGGAGGGAUGGGGGCAAAGGGAUGUGGGGCUAGAAAGAUGGCCUCGUGGUUAAGAGCACUGGCAUCUCCUCUAGAGGACCCAGGCUUAAUUCCCAGCUCCCUCAUGACAUCUUACAACUGUCUACAACUCCAUUGCCAGGAGAUCUUAUGCCCCCUUGAGGCCUCCGUAGGCACUGCAUGCACAUGGUACACAGAUACGCACAGACAAAUACGCAUACGCGAUAGUUUUACUUCCUGAUGAACGCUGAAGGGAAAGAUGGGAGCAUCCCACUCCUCCUGGGUCAGAUCCUCCCUCUCAUGCUUCUCACCCAGCGUCAAAAAGAGCCUUUGAGCUACGUGGCACAGAACAUAACGCACCGCCGUAGGAAGAGCCUAACACGUGGUCGGAGAUGAUCUAGACUCCAAUCCCAGCUUUGCCACUGGGAAGCCCCUACAAGCUCAGAGGAUAAUGACUCCCAUCCCCACUCCCAGGGUCAUCGUGGGGAUGCAUGAGACCACUUCCGCGAAGUUGCUUCUCAGACUUUGCGGCUUUAUUCUCCCCGCAGUUGCUCUUUCACAAGGCUUUGCCCAUUCUGGACCUGAGCCGUUUCUGACACUAACACAGAUCCCUGCUUCUUGGACCUUUUGCCACCUACCGCGCCCUCCCAUCCUUUCAUCUUAGCUUGUGUUUGUUUAAGGUUGGUCUCAAUUGCCCCGGCAACAUGCCGCUUCCUUCACUGCUUCCUCCCAGUGCUCUUUGGUUGGGAUUCAAAGAGGUCACGAUACAGGUUAGGGCAUCACCCGAAGUUCACUAUGCGCAAGUCGACUUAAAACCCAAACCUUGGACUCUUUCCCAUUUUUACAAAGUCCAUUUAAGCCAGAUGAAAGCUGACUCUGUGCAGCUGAGGCCAGAAAGGACUAGUUUAGCCCUUAGCUUUUCCACGGAGUCAAUCUCAUUCAGGGGUAGCCCUAGAAGAACCAUCUGGAAACUAUGAGGAUCAGGAUUCCCCUGAGAGUCAAAGACGACCUUUCAAACCCUCAACAGCGACUGGUCUACUCAUCUUCUCCUUCAAAGCCACCUUAGUGCUCUCAAACCCAACUCAAAACAGGCCUGGCCAAGUAUUAUGGAAAUGUUGACCCGUCAGGAUUUACUUAAAUCCUCCUUGCUUGUGGGCCUCCAAAGACAAAGCUGUAUCCAUGGCAACCACAGGAGGACCCAGCAGAAGAGAGCUGUACCCAGACACUAAGCAUUAUAGCUGUUUACUGAUGACUAAGGACUUAAAAGCCUUGAGAGUGGGCCAGACUCCAGGCUGCCCCCAUCCUUCCAAGACCAUCGGCUAUAAUCAGAGACCAAAAAAAAAAAAAAAAAGUUUCCCAGCCUUGGGAUGGGCCACUUGCUCCCAUGGCUUGGGACAGUACUGCAGGAAAUAGUGGGCCUCACUGAGAGGAAAACUGGAUUUAAGAAAGUCAUGGGGGACCCUGGAGCCCUAGAGCACAGGAGCUUUUCCUGCUCAGUUCUAACUAGGGGACAAUGGCUUCAGGGGCAGGAUCUUCUCCAGAUGUGAUCCCUUUGGACCUGAGAGGCACGGACAGCCAGAGCAAGCUUAGCUAGAGUUUGUAUAUCCAAGUGGUUUGGGAUUUCCCCAGACUCCAUGCAAUGGGAGCCUUAUUCAGUCAGUCUUUUCCAUGGGCCAAUAUAAACCUGGUAAUGGCUCCUUGGGCAUCAGGAGGCCUGUCUGGUUCGGGAUAAUUCAUCUAAACAUCCCACUUGAAGUUCCUUGACUUCCAAACCCUCAUAACCAGCCUUACAGAAACUUCCAGACUCAAGCCAUAUAAGUCAUUCAAAGUUAAGCUCCACACACAUGUGAGAAUUUUGAUCCCAGUGUCUGCUACCCAGACCAGGUUGGAGAGAGGGAAUCCUGUGUGCAAGUCCUGGGAAGGCUCUUAACUGCCAUUGCGUGGGGUGUUAGAUGGGAAAGAACCAGUGCGUGAUCUCUACAAACUACAAGGGGAACCUGGGGUUUUGUUUUUACUUUUGGUUUGGUUUUUGAUAGCUUCUUCCAUUUUUCAGGCUAGCCUAGGAUCAUGGUAUAGCCAAACAUCUUUGGCUUGAACUCCCAGGUGCUGGGAUUGCAGUUGCAAGCCACCAUGUUUGGCUUGGCUUUUUUUUUUUCUCUUAGUGGAGAAGGUCGAAUACAAGAAAGAGCGGAGGGCAAAUGGAAGUCCCUCUGGAUACUUCCCAGCUUGCAAUAACAGCUCCUAAGGAGGACUGUAGCAACUGGACAUAGUGAUACACACCUUCUAUCCCAGCACCCAGGGGGCAGAGACAGGUGGAUCUGUGUGAGUUUGAGGCCAGCUGGGUCUACAUAGUGAGUUCCUGGACAGCCAGAGAUACACAGUGAGACCCUGUCCCAAAAAAAGAAAACAGAAAAAGAGGACCAUGGGUCUGUACCGAGGCUUCCAGAGGCUCUGUCACUGCUGAAAUUCAUCCCUGAGAGUGACUCUGGUUCUGAAGGGACAGUCUCAACGGGCCCUAGCUGGAAAUUUAAGAUUAUCAUAACUAUCUUGGUGAAUAAACUCUUAGUGAUGGUUUGUUCCCUUUGGCUGUGGGGGGUGGGAGGUAGGAACCAUGAUAAACACACAAACCCAAGCCAGUUGCUGCGUGUGCCAAGUACACAGUCAAUCAAGAAGCAGGAACACACGAACAGUUCUCAAUAAAUAGCUGAGCUCUGUUUAUACCCAAGAAACAAUGCUAUCCAUUUCCUCAUACUACAGAUAUCAGGACAAUUUCCCAGUAACCGAUAUGAUGUUUUCGCCUUUAAGUGUAGCACUGACAACCAGGGACAAAGUCACUGAAUGUGUAUUAGAGACAAACCGAGCCAUUGGUCCAGCCUUCUUAUGACAUGAAUCUGUGUGAUGCCAAGGUCCCACACGUGGUCUCAGCCCUGAGCAAGCACAAGGGUGUGCUGGGGCCAGCUGGGGUCAUUAGCCCCUGUUGGCCUUAGUUUGUGGCUCUUGCCUUGAGACUUGGGUGGCCAGGCAGAUCCUUGAGCGGCCAGCACAGGCUGAGGAGGGGUCAGGCUGCAGGCCAGUUAGCCCACACCACUUUUCCUGCACCCAAGGGCGGGCAGGUGGUCCAUCUUCGUAUCCUGAAAUAAAACUUGCUUGCUGUCUGGCCUGGCACAGGAUAUGCUGGUUUUGUGAUACGCAACUUUCUUACUUAAUGGACGUUGUCCAACAUUCAGUAAAUGCUCUAGAUUCUGAAGACGUUUUAGUACAUUACCCUGGUCACCUGGAAUCUUUUCAUCUAAGUAACUAACUCUUUGUCAAAGUAUAGUCUUUUCUUUUUUCUUUUUUUCUGUUCUUUAAGAAAUGAAAUCAGGUGGAGUGCUACUGUUCUUCAAAUCUUACAGGAGGAUAACCAGCAAGGUAACCGAGCCUGACGAUCUGAGUUUGAUUCAUGGGAUCCACAUGGUUAGGGAGCUGAGGCCCACAAAUUGUCCUCUGACUUCCACAUAUGAGUCAUGACAUGCACACCUGUGCAUAUGCGCGCGCACGCGCACGCACACACACACACACACACACACACACACACCACACACACAGGCAUACACAUGAACAAAAAAUAAUUGCUGAGCAAUGGCUGUGCACAUCUUUAAUCCUAGCACUCAGAGGCAGAGGCAGGCAGAUCUCUGAGUUUGAAGCUAUCCUGGUCUACUGAGUGAGUUCAAGGACAGCCAGGGACACACAUACACACACACACACACACACACACACGAAACCCCUGUCUCCAAAAAACAAGUAGUAGUAGUAGUAGUAGUAGUAGUAGUAGUAGUAGUAGUUGUUGUUGUUGUAAUUUAAUAAUAACCUAAGUUAUUAGAAAAGGGAGCUUUCGAUGUAAUUCUUAGGUUUGGAAAGCGUUGGGAAAGUUCAUGAAAAUGAAUUUCUAUGUAGAAAAUCAAGAUCAUUUUACCUCUUACUUAAGUUGUGGCAGAAACAGUGGCAUCUUUCACAGACUGAAAAAGAGACAGAUGUCAGGUAACACAAGUAAAAUCAUAAAAGGGGGAGUGAAAUUCUGUCCACAUUGGCUAAGCAGUCAUAAAAGCAUGAUGAAAAGCUUGGCUUCUCAGAGGCAGCCCUUACCCUCCCAGAUAGGCUCUCCUGGAGAUAACAGAGACACGUGGAAUCAUUCUGCUGCCAAGAUUUCAGACCCAAGAAGUCCGUGUCUGGCCUACUGCUGGAUUGUAUUCCUCUUUCCUCAAGUUUCUCCUCAUCAACCAAAAAAAAAAAAAAAAAAAGCCUACUAGAAAACACACAGCAAGGCCAAGGCCAGUGCUGGAGAGAUGGCUCGGUGGUUGGUCAUGAGCACGUGCUGCUCUUCUAGAGGACCCAGGCUCAGUUGCCAUCACCCAUAUGGUGACCUCUCAGUGAUCUGUGAUACCAGCUCCAAAGGACCCCUCUUCUGGCUCUGCAGACACCAAGCACACAUAUGUAUGGUACAUGCAUAUAUGUAACAUAAAAAGAAACAAUAUUAAAAGUGUUCGCAGCCAG